rnacentral:rRNA from 1 species
UACGUAGGGUGCGAGCGUUGUCCGGAAUUACUGGGCGUAAAGAGCUCGUAGGCGGUUUGUUGCGUCGGCUGUGAAAUCCCGAGGCUCAACCUCGGGUCUGCAGUCGAUACGAGCAAACUAGAGUGUUGCAGGGGAGACUGGAAUUCCUGGUGUAGCGGUGAAAUGCGCAGAUAUCAGGAGGAACACCGGUGGCGAAGGCGGCCAUCUGGACCGCAACUGACGCUGAGGCGCGAAAGCGUGGGGAGCAAACAGG